AGAAAUAGGCUAAGCUGGGUAGUUUCGAGUAAAACGGAAACCCCAGCCGGAAGCAGGCCCCGAUAUAAAAGCUGAAAGGGAAAACGUGGAAUUCAAAUCACACACUGAAAAAAAUUCGAAAGCCACAAGACAAUCUAGAUCCAAUAUAGAUUCGUCAAUGGGAAAGAUGAGGUCAAGCACUGUCAAGUAAAUGAACAUUGGACGGAUAUGGUUUUGCUCUGGAAUAUGCUUUACAGAAAUGAAUUUUUUUGUGCGUCAUUCGAGGCGGCACAUUGGUUUUAUUUUUACGUUAAGCCUUGAAGCUGGGGACUUCUUCCUGCCUUUUGCGGAGUCCAAAUAAAGAUGCGACAAUGAAUGAUUAUUUUGUGAAACGAGAAA